rnacentral:rRNA from 1 species
ACGCCCGGUUACAUUCCGAACCCGGAAGCUAAGCCUUUCAGCGCCGAUGGUACUGCAUGCGGGAGCGUGUGGGAGAGUAGGACGCCGCCGAAC